CGUAAUCGACAGUAAAUUCUGCUCUUUGAUUGGUUGAUUCGCUGUUUACAUUUUUUCACAGCCAAUCAAGAGGCAGAAUUUGCUACCGAUUACGAUAACGAUGAAUAAGUUUUUCUUACACCAUGGGGGGCUGGUCCGUUUGAAAGU